rnacentral:tRNA from 1 species
GGGCCUGUAGCUCAGUUGGUAGAGCGUUGCAUUCGCAUUGCAAAGGUCAUCGGUUCAACUCCGAUCAGGUCCACCA